GUUCUCACAACCCAUUAACUUACAGCCGGAAAGUGAAAAGGCCAAGAGACACGUAAAACCUCUGUGUGAGUCCGUCUGUGCAUGUAUGUAAGCAACUUCUAGGGAGAGGUGCCUGCUCCAAACGAGAAGACCUGGGUCACAGCAGUAACCCUUGCUGUUGAGAUGGGAUCCUUAGCAGAUAAGGAUCCAGCUUGGAUCACACCCAGCUGCACAGCCCUGUCUCAGAGAAGUGUGAGCACUAAGAGGGUGCGAAGGCUGAGGAAGAAGAAAACAGGAGCUACUGGUCUUGGGUUUAGAUUCUAAAAGUUAAAGAGCAACUCAGUGAGGUAGCUUUUAAUUUGGACCCACAGUCUGUUCAUUUAAAUGUGCAGCUCCAGCACUUUCAGUCGUACCUGGAGCGGCCUGGCCAUUCGGAGAAGCUGUACCCCACCAGUUUGGGCAAACACAGUGUUGAUUGAUAUGGUGUGUCACUAAACACAGUUCCAGUGAUGGCUGUGACUCAGAUGUAUUGCCUUCAGUUGCACAC